GUGAGGUUGAGGCGGGAGCCGGCGGGCACCUCCAGCAUGCUGCCCCACGCCUGGUCGCAGAGCAGCUCGAUCUCGGCCGAGUAGAAGAGCCCCCCGGCGCCCUGCGCGCCGCCGCCCGGGGGGCCGCGCUGCCAGGGCAGAAUUGGCUGAGGCAACCUUGGGCUUCUCCAGCUUUCUGCAGAACAGCUCAGAGACUGACCCUUAUCCCAGCGUACGUCCUGCUCUGGAGCGCUUGCUUCUCCCGAGUAUCUCCAGCUGGGGGGGCGGGAUUUAGCCCGAGUUAAAACUCUCCCUGGCUGUGAUGGUUAAUAAAAGUUCAACCUACUUGGUCCCUUAA